UUCAUGGAGAGUUUGAUCCUGGCUCAGGACGAACGCUGGCGGCGUGCUUAACACAUGCAAGUCGAACGGAAAGGCCCGCUUGCGGGUACUCGAGUGGCGAACGGGUGAGUAACACGUGGGUGAUCUGCCCUGGACUCUGGGAUAAGCCUGGGAAACUGGGUCUAAUACCGGAUAUGACCUUACAUCGCAUGGUGUUUGGUGGAAAGCUUUUGCGGUUCAGGAUGGGCCCGCGGCCUAUCAGCUUGUUGGUGGGGUAAUGGCCUACCAAGGCGACGACGGGUAGCCGACCUGAGAGGGUGAUCGGCCACACUGGGACUGAGACACGGCCCAGACUCCUACGGGAGGCAGCAGUGGGGAAUAUUGCACAAUGGGCGCAAGCCUGAUGCAGCGACGCCGCGUGAGGGAUGACGGCCUUCGGGUUGUAAACCUCUUUCACCAGGGACGAAGCGCAAGUGACGGUACCUGGAGAAGAAGCACCGGCCAACUACGUGCCAGCAGCCGCGGUAAUACGUAGGGUGCGAGCGUUGUCCGGAAUUACUGGGCGUAAAGAGCUCGUAGGCGGUUUGUCGCGUCGUCUGUGAAAUUCUGCAACUCAAUUGUAGGCGUGCAGGCGAUAC
rnacentral:rRNA from 1 species